AAGUCGUAACAAGGUUUCCGUAGGUGAACYUGCGGAAGGAUCAUUAUU
rnacentral:rRNA from 1 species